AGAGAGGUCCUGCCAGGGGGACCCCGGCCGGCCCGCAGCACCACCGCCGCCGCCAGCAGGAUUAGUGACUACCAUCAGCACUCCCACACUGAGUGUGACUACCCCAGCUCCAAAUACCAUUCUCCAGAUGCUAAAGUUCCCAUUUGUGUGCUUUUGAGGAGAAGGAAGGAAAAAGCAAAGCUUUUAAGGGGGAGCAGUGAGAGUGCCAGCUGA
rnacentral:lncRNA from 1 species